AGCUGAUUUAACAGAAUGUCUAGCUGAGGGCACAAUUGGAUCUACAGUCAGCUUCAGAUAAAUGGCAACUGAAGAGAAUGUCGAGCUAAAGGCACAAAGCCAGCUUUAAGGAGCUUUUCUUCAGGACUAUUCUUCAAAGAGCAGUAAGGAAGAAUCCUUCCUACUGGGGUGCAACUGACAAGGCUAUCCAGAACCAUUUCACCAGGUACCCAAAAGGGGC